GGAAUAUUGGACAAUGGGCGGAAGCCUGAUCCAGCCAUGCCGCGUGAGGGAAGAAGGUCCUCUGGAUUGUAAACCUCUUUUGGCGGGGGACAAACCACCACUACACGUGGUGCUGAGGGUACCCGCAGAAUAAGCACCGGCUAACUCCGUGCCAGCAGCCGCGGUAAUACGGAGGGUGCAAGCGUUGUCCGGAUUCAUUGGGUUUAAAGGGUGCGUAGGCGGCCUGGUAAGUCAGCGGUGAAAUACCCAC
rnacentral:rRNA from 1 species